rnacentral:rRNA from 1 species
AACGAACGCUGGCGGCAUGCCUAACACAUGCAAGUCGAACGAGACCUUCGGGUCUAGUGGCGCACGGGUGCGUAACGCGUGGGAACCUGCCUUUAGGUUCGGAAUAACUCAGAGAAAUUGGAGCUAAUACCGGAUGAUGUCUUCGGACCAAAGAUUUAUCGCCUUUGGAUGGGCCCGCGUUGGAUUAGCUAGUUGGUGGGGUAAAGGCCUACCAAGGCGACGAUCCAUAGCUGGUCUGAGAGGAUGAUCAGCCACACUGGGACUGAGACACGGCCCAGACUCCUACGGGAGGCAGCAGUGGGGAAUAUUGGACAAUGGGCGAAAGCCUGAUCCAGCAAUGCCGCGUGAGUGAUGAAGGCCUUAGGGUUGUAAAGCUCUUUUACCCGAGAUGAUAAUGACAGUACCGGGAGAAUAAGCUCCGGCUAACUCCGUG